GCUAUCGGAGUCCGAUUUAGCCAUGCUAGUCGCACGAAUUCAGAUUCGUGGCAUAUAGCUCAGUAACACGUGGCCAAACUACCCUACAGACCGCAAUAACCUCGGGAAACUGAGGCCAAUAGCGGAUAUCACUCUCACGCUGGAGUGCCGAGAGUGAGAAACGUUCCGGCGCUGUAGGAUGUGGCUGCGGCCGAUUAGGUAGAUGGUGGGGUAACGGCCCACCAUGCCGAUAAUCGGUAUAGGUUGUGACAGCAAGAGCCUAGAGACGGUAUCUGAGACAAGAUACCGGGCCCUACGGGGCGCAGCAGGCGCGAAACCUUUACACUGCACGACAGUGCGAUAGGGGGACUCCGAGUGCGAGGGCAUAUAGUCCUCGCUUUUCUGUACCCUAAGGUGGUACAAGAAUAAGGACUGGGCAAGACCGGUGCCAGCCGCCGCGGUAAUACCGGCAGUCCAAGUGAUGGCCGAUAUUAUUGGGCCUAAAGCGUCCGUAGCUUGCUGUGUAAGUCCAUUGGGAAAUCGACGCGCUCAACGCGUCGACGUUCGGUGGAAACUGCAGAGCUUGGGGCCGAGAGACUCGACGGGUACGUCCGGGGUAGGAGUGAAAUCCUGUAAUCCUGGACGGACCACCAACGGCGAAAGCACGUCGAGAGACCGGACC
rnacentral:rRNA from 1 species